GGAAGUUCCAGCAGAUUUUAUCAUCAAAUAAAAAAAUAAAUGCAAGCAGGAAAAAGGGUAGAGUAUAUACAAGAUAAUAAGUUAGCCUACAGAUCAAGUUGUUGAUGACUACUAGGACGUCCUAAAUGCUUUAAACUGAAUAGCUGUAGAGUUAAAUUGUGCACAAGAAAAAAAGUCAACUCUAAGAAACCUGGGACUUCACCUCAAAUAUCAUUCAAUUUCUUUGCCUUCAAAUGUGAUAUUCAUGAAGAAAUGAUAUCGGAACACAUAUGUUCAGCCACUUGCAAUUGCAAUUGCAAUGCAGUUUGAAUAAUCAGAUAAGAUUUUUCCAUUCAAAGU
rnacentral:lncRNA from 1 species